rnacentral:miRNA from 1 species
UGACUGCCUCACUGACCACUU